AUACUUUAACAACUCCUUUACCACCUCAAGAUGCCCUUUAUCUGCAGCAGUAAACAGAGCUGUCUCUCCCAAUUCAUUCACCUCAUUCACCACUGAUGCCCUUAUUUCUGCAACCUCUGCAUCAAAGUCCUCCCCACUAAAAGUACCCAUCAGUUGUGAAUCAAUAUCAUUCAGAAUCUGCUUUACAGCUGCCAAAUCACCAUGUUGAGCCGCCAAGUGCAGCUCAGUGUCGUUAUGGCGCCCAGUUACUUGUUUUACAUACUUCUUUUUUCCUGCUUGAUCAAUCCGUUUUCCAGAGUUGGAUAGAACUAGGGCUGGAGCUGAUGAUGUUGAGGACGGUGAUGGUGUUGGAGAGGAUUCUGCGAGAGGGUUUUGGUUUUGUUGCGGAUGCAUUAGUCCCUUUUCCAAGUCCCUCUCUCCCCCUUCUCCGACUGGGGAAGCCAUGACUCGUUGAAAAUUUAACGGUAGUGAAAGAAAGAAAAAGACCUAAGAGGUCAUCAAAUGGAAGAAAGAAAAAGUUUGAGAUAAUAAUAUAAAAAAAGGAGAGAGAGAGAGAGAGUAUGAGAAGGUG
rnacentral:misc_RNA from 1 species